rnacentral:rRNA from 1 species
AUGCGUUAGCUGUGCCACUGAACUCGAAAGUCCAACGGCUAGUUGUCAUCGUUACGGCGUGGACUACCAGGGUAUCUAAUCCUGUUUGCUACCCACGCUUUCGCACCUCAGCGUCAGUUACGGUCCAGAGAGUUGCCUUCGCCAUUGGUAUUCCUCAUGAUAUCUACGCAUUUCACCGCUACACCAUGAAUUCUACUCUCCUCUCCCGUACUCCAGUUUAAAAGUUUUGAAUGCAGUUCCCAGGUUAAGCCCGGGGAUUUCACACCCAACUUGUCAAACCGCCUACGCGCGCUUUACGCCCAGUAAUUCCGAUUAACGCUUGGACCCUCCGUAUUACCGCGGCUGCUGGCACGGAGUUAGCCGGUCCUUAUUCUGUAAGUAAUGUCAUGGUUAUUGGGUAUUAACCAAUAACUUUUCUUCCUUACCUAAAGUGCUUUACAACCCGAAGGCCUUC